ensembl:ncRNA lncRNA:CR43846 long non-coding RNA:CR43846
ACAAUUUUCAUUUUUUGAAACUUCAACUCUCGCCUUAAAUACAGUCGAUUUUUUGUGGCUAUUCCUUAACGAAAGAAAAUUCAUUUUAAGCCAACAAAGUUUCGGAAAAUGUUGAUCCUUGGCGCACAGCGACUUUGCACGUCGCAACUGUUUAAAUUUAAUUUGCCAGACGACUGUGCUCUGCUGCAUUAUAGCUGUGUGUUUUCAGGUCGCCAGAAAUCAACAUUUUCCGGGGCGACGUGAGCAAUCGAAGGUAAUGCACUGGCUUCACUUCUCUUCCGCUUUUCCAGGGGAAAACUAAAGCAGGCGGGGGCACACAACACACGGAAGUAGUUACCAUCAUGCCAAAUAUGACAAAUGCUGUUGCACACACACACACACUGAGACCCAGAGAAAAAAAAGGACCUUAGAAGGAACUACCCUGGACCGACUGACACGUAAACUGCAUAAAUAUAAACGCAGCCGGCGAACGUGCGAGACAUGGAGGCGAAAUGCAGGCAACUAGGGAAGCUGGCAAUCCAAUGCAAAAUUUAACAAGGUGCACCCACCUAAAGCCCAAGUUCCCCGCAGCGAAGUAACCUCCAAGGAACCGAGACACUGGCGAUUAGGGGUCCUUGAGAAUAAUAUACCAAAGGCAGUGAGAAAAAAAACUACAGAACUCUCGAACUGCAGAAAAGAAUCUUACGCCUUAAUGAAUAUAACACAUUUAUAAAGGAU